CUCCAAGUAUUAAAGGUAACGCCUGCCCAGUGAUAAUUUCAACGGCCGCGGUAUCCUAACCGUGCAAAGGUAGCGUAAUCACUUGUCCACUAAAUAUGGACCAGUAUGAACGGCUAAAUGAGGACCAACCUGUCUCCUUUGUCCAAUCAGUGAAACUGAUCUUUCAGUUCAAAAGCUGAAAUACCCACAUAAGACGAGAAGACCCUGUGGAGCNUUUAAAUUUAUANUUAAUAGCACCACAAANAUGCUUCANUAAUUAAAAAUUUUAAGUUGGGGCAACUNNUCGAAACAAAACCAAACUUUCGAGAACAAAGACACCUUACNCCAU
rnacentral:rRNA from 1 species